rnacentral:misc_RNA from 1 species
AAGCAACCUGGUUUUUUGAUUGAUUUCCCUCCAAAAAAAAAGAAGAAAACAUUAAUUGACGACAAUUCCGCCCAAAAGCAACAGGAGCAGCUGCUGCACUUUGCCACGCCUACUCGACACCGUGGUACCGUCCUAAAAGCUCCACACACACACACACAUACAUACCCCUCCCCCUUCCACCUGUCCCCCUUCAUACACACUCAUCAUGGCAGACACAGAGACAGUUGUUGGGGAUCUGCGCAUGGAAGUGGAGCGUCUGACACGCGAACUCGAUCAGGUGACCAGCGCCAGCGCCCAAUCCGCUGAAUAUGGUCUAUCGCUGCUGGAGGAGAAGUCGGCACUGCAGCAGAAGUGCGAGGAGCUCGAAACACUCUACGACAACACAAGACACGAACUGGACAUCACUCAGGAGGCUCUCACCAAAUUCCAAACGUCACAAAAGGUCACCAAUAAGACGGGCAUCGAACAGGAGGAGACGCUGCUCAAUGAGUCAGCCGCACGCGAAACCUCGCUCAAUCUGCAAAUACUCGAACUGGAGAACGAAUCGAAGCAGCUGCGACAUGAGCUGGAGCGUGUGCGCAACGAACGGGAUCGCAUGCUGCAGGAGAACUCGGACAUUGGACGCGACAAGAGCGACAAUGAGGCAGACCGGCUGCGUCUCAAAUCCGAGCUAAAGGAUUUGAAAUUUCGCGAGACACGCAUGCUCAGCGAAUACUCCGAACUGGAGGAGGAGAACAUAUCGCUGCAGAAGCAGGUCUCCAGCCUGAGAAGCUCUCAGGUGGAGUUUGAGGGUGCCAAACAUGAGAUACGUCGCCUUACCGAGGAGGUGGAGCUGCUGAAUCAGCAGGUCGAUGAGCUAGCGAAUCUCAAGAAGAUUGCCGAAAAGCAAAUGGAGGAGGCGCUCGAGGCACUGCAGGGCGAGCGUGAGGCGAAAUAUGCGCUGAAAAAGGAGCUGGAUGGUCAUCUGAAUCGCGAGUCCAUGUAUCACAUCAGCAAUUUGGCCUACAGCAUACGCAGCAAUAUGGAGGAUAAUGCCAGCAAUAAUUCCGAUGGCGAAGAGGAGAAUUUGGCACUGAAACGUCUCGAGGCGGAUUUGAGCACAGAACUCAAAUCGCCCGAUGGCACCAAAUGUGAUCUCUUCUCCGAGAUCCAUUUGAACGAGCUGAAGAAACUGGAAAAGCAGCUGGAAUCGAUGGAGAAUGAGAAAUCGCAUUUGACAACCAAUUUGCGUGAGGCGCAAAGCAGUCUCGACAAGUCACAAAAUGAGCUGCAGAACUUUAUGUCACGUCUCGCACUGCUGGCCGCCCAUGUUGAUUCCCUUGUGCAGCUCAAGAAACAGAUUUGUGUCAAGGAUCAGACGAGCGGCGGCGGCAAGGAUAAGGAUGAACAAUUCCAGCAACAGAUGCGUACGAUUUGCACACAAUAUGCCAAUUGGUUUAUGCUCUCCGCCAAGGAGAUUGACGGCCUUAAGACUGACAUUGCCGAGCUGCAGAAGGGUCUCAACUAUACGGACGCCACCACCACUCUCCGCAACGAGGUUACCAAUCUGAAGAACAAACUGCUCUCCACCGAACAAAAGUCACUCGAUCUGCAGAGCGAUGUUCAAACGCUGACGCACAUCUCACAGAAUGCUGGCCAGAGUUUGGGCUCGGCACGCAGCACUCUGGUUGCGCUCAGCGAUGAUCUGGCGCAGCUGUAUCAUCUGGUCUGCACUGUGAAUGGCGAGACGCCAUCGCGUGUCCUGCUCGAUCACAAGAGCGACGAUAUGAGCUUUGAGAACGAUUCGUUGACUGCCAUCCAAUCGCAGUUCAAAUCGGAUGUUUUCACUGCACGCCCGCAAAUUGUUGAGGAUCUGCAGGGCUUGGCGGAUUCGGUGGAGAUUAAAAAAUAUGUCGACACCGUCAGCGAUCAGAUCAAGCAUCUGAAAACGGCCGUCGAGCACACAAUCGAUCUGAACAAGCACAAAGUGCGCGCCGAGGGAGGUGAAUCCGUGGAGAAGGGCAACACCGAGGAGGUGGAGGAGCUGCAGGAGCAAAUUGUCAAGCUCAAGAGCCUGUUGUCCGUGAAACGCGAGCAAAUUAUCACGCUGCGCAAUGUGCUCAAGUCAAACAAACAAACCGCCGAGGUGGCACUCACCAAUCUCAAGUCCAAAUACGAGAACGAGAAGAUCAUUGUCAGCGACACCAUGUCCAAGUUGCGCAACGAGCUCCGACUGCUCAAAGAGGAUGCGGCCACCUUCUCCAGUCUGCGCGCCAUGUUCGCCGCACGCUGCGAGGAGUAUGUUACCCAGGUGGAUGAUCUGAAUCGCCAGCUGGAGGCUGCCGAGGAGGAGAAGAAAACGCUCAAUCAGCUGCUGCGCUUGGCCGUCCAGCAAAAGCUGGCGCUCACCCAGCGUUUGGAGGAAAUGGAAAUGGAUCGGUGGGUGCAUUUGGGUCGCUAAUCUUAGCCAGAGAGCUCAAAACACACAGAAUCACAGUAUCCCAUCAAAUCAGAAAAAAAUAAAACAAGUCUUUAGUUGUCCUUUGUAUAAAAUAUCCCCAACCCGACAAAAUCAGCACACUUGCGAGAUGCGUCAUGUGCGCCGUCCAAUGCCACCGCAACGCGG